GGUGGCACAUACCUUUAAUUCCGUACUUGGAAGGGCCAAGGCAGGAGGAUUGCCAGUUCCAGGCUAGUCUGGGCUAGUUGCGAGACUCUGUCUCAGACAAAAUAAAAAAAACAAAACCUAACAGGGACGAGGAUCACUUGCAAACCAAUGGCAAAGUCACUGGAGGCUAAGCCUCCGAGGAGGGCUGCGGAGGAGUCAAGUCCUGGACCAGGUCUUGGGGAAUCAGCAGAAUGAGGCCAUGAAGAGGUCCUCUUCAGUGAGUCGGUGUGAGACCAAAUGUUCCUCUGGAGUCUGGGCCAUCCAUCUGCUGCGUUCCCUGCAUUGCUGGCUGUGGGAACACUGCGUUCCACCCUCCUGACCCUGAGACGCUCCAUCACAGCAGAUGUGGAGGAAAUCUCCCGGGAACACUUCUCCGGGAAGGAAGUGCCCAUUUAAAGAAAUUACAUAGAAGUGAUGUACUCCCUCCCUCCUCAGCCCAUGGCGGGCAGGGUGGCAGCUGCAAGAUACCUGAGAGAAACAACGUCAGCAGGAAGAGCUGUAAGUUCAGCUUGCCAUCCAUGAGCAGAGAAGGUGGGGCCGGUGCAGCUCCUGCGAUGGUGGAUGGGAGGCAGAGCCAAGCAGGACAGACCCUCUGACUCAGGAAACCUGAAUUCGCAUCUCUCUUCCUGCUAUCAUUGUUUCUCCCAGGUGUCUGGUAAGAGCAAGGAAUCCAGUGGUCUGUGGAAAUGCCAUGAUGGACACGGCCAGAGACAUGUUUUCCUGAUCUCUUAGGCAUUGCUCAGUUGACCCCGCAAACUGGGCAUCACAGCUCACAUCCUUUGAUAUGGUUUGGGAAAGGGUCUAUCUCCGGUACCAUUGCUCGAGUGAUUCUCUCCUGAUCCCUCUGUGAGUAAGGGGGAGGGUGACUCGGUUAAUUUUGUGCUUAUGAUUCUUUUAUAAGAUUGUCCCAUUUUUAUCUCCAAAUGGUGCAUUUUUCAGUUGAUGCAUUUUUAAAUAAUUUAUUAUGGAAUCAAGUGUGUUUUCUUUUAUGACUAACAUCUUUCAUCUGUGCUGUGUGGUACAACCGUUUUCUUUGCUAUGUGAUGAGUUCUGGGAAGGGAUUGACACCACGGUUACUGAAUUUUGAAUUUCUCCCCCCAAUUUUAGAAUACUGGGCACUAUGUUUCAGUGAGUCUUCAGUUUCAAGCUGCCUGGUUUCCUGUGUGGAAGAGUUAUCUAGAAUCUCUGUGCUGAGGCCCAGAAAUGUUGCUAAAUUAUGUAGGGAUUGUUUCCCAAAGUGACUGUACCUACCGUUUAUAUAAUGCAUGCAUUUUGAGUGUUCAUGUGUGUGGUGUGUUCAGGUGUGUGCACGUGUAUGUGUCUAGACCCAUGCCUGGAAGCCAGGGAGGAUACAAGGUAUCUUCCUUUAUCCCUCCUUGCCUUCUGGAGCCAUAGGCUCUCUCACUGGAGCUCAGCAUUUUUUUUUUUUUUAAUCUAGGCUGGCAGCUCGCACAUCUCCCCUAACAUCUUGAUUCCACCCAUCCCAGCUUUGGAGUUAUAGAUGUGUGCAGCCAUGUCUUGUCGCGCCCGCUCUCGACCAGCAAGAACGACGCGACCACCAGUCCUUCUAACAGCAGUUUAUUCAGUCCUGAUUCUUCUUGUUUAUAUCUCCCCCAACCCUGGGCCUCUCACUCCUUUUAUACUCUCUCUUAUCCACGUUCCGCAGGCCACGCCCCCUCGCCAGUCACGAGGCUUCAGCUAAUCAGGGCAGCAGGGGCAAAUCUCCACCAAAUUGGAUUCACCUGUAUCCUGGUACACCUGCGCAGCACUCAAGAUGUUUGUGUCUUAUAUGAGGAAGUCAGGUGCAAGUCAUAUGACUUAGCUGCAGUCCCUGGCGCCUUUGGGACUGCCGCCACACCCGCUCCCCACAAUGUCUGACUUCAUGGGUAAUGCGGAUCCAAGUUGUAACCAUGGGCCUUUCUAUGCCCACCCCAGCUCUUACUAAUGACCUUAAUAUUUGUUAACAACACUGUUGUCCUUGGCUUAGCUUGCUCCCCAACUAGCUCAUGAUCCACAUUAACUGAUUUAUAGUAUUCUGUGUCUGUCUCAUGGCUGCAUACCUCUCCUCCGUUUCAAAUGCCCAACUUUCCCUGUGUCUUGGUGGCAAAUCUCCCAUGCCUCUCUCUUUCCCAGAGUCCUCUCUCUAUCCAGAAGUCCCACAUUGUUGUGGGAACUAUUAAAAAUUGAACCGGCUUGUCCCUGUGCUUGAGCCGGCAACUCUCUGCCCCAGAGGCCUGGCCGGCCAUGCACUGGCUGGCAAUGGCCGACCUGUUAUUAUCUCAAGGAAACUCUGACUCAGUGUUCCAAAAUCUCUCUGCCCUGAUCACUAGGUUCCCACUGGCAGGCCAUUACCACGCCAGCUUCAAAACCCCUAUGACCUUUGUGGUGCAUAUCAGGUAAACCCACACUUUGCCACCAUUCCCUUCUCCCUUGAACCCAGAUGAGCCACCACGUGAAGGAAAAUGCAACACAAACUUAGUUCAGAAACAACGGUAACUCAACCACUGGGUGCAACAACUGAAUCCUAAUCUCGUAAGCCUUAUUAAAUCUCAAUCCUCUGGUGGCGAAUCCUGAACCAGGAGACACUCGUAGCUACAUCUAAUCCUCACCCUAUUCCCAUCCAAAAAGACCCUCUCUCUCCUGCUUCCUUUUUUUCUCCGUCCAACCCGGAUGUCCCGCCUACUAGCCCAGUGAUGCCUCCUUUAUCCAUCAGGGGAUUGGUUCACAAGAAGUCACCUGAGUCCGUGACUCAUUCCUCAUUCCAGACAACCCUUUCCUGGAGAGCAGAAUUAACAUAAAAAUACAGCAGCGCAGAGCCAUCCCCAUCACUAGUUUACUCUUCUGCCUUUCACUAUAGGCUGUAGGUUUUUCAUUUUAACCAAUCAGAAGGUGCUUUAGGUGGGCAAGGAAGGACAGAGACCUGCCUUCACACAAUGUACAAAAACAUCACUCCAACCUCAAGCUCAACUCCAGAGCUUGCCUAGCAAAUCUCUUACCUGCUGAGCCACUUCCCAGCCAGAUAAAUUGACUGAUAAUGAUGUUGCCAGACUUAUAUAUAUUCUGAUUUCUUGUUGCUUCUUUGAGACAGGGUCUCUCUAUUUAACCCUGGCUACCUUGGAACUUUAUAUGUACACAAGGCUGGUUUUAAACUCACAGAGACAUCCAUCUGCCUCUGCCUUUAGAGUACUGGGAUUAAAAGCACGUUCCGUCAUUCCUGUCCUUAGACUUACAUUUUUGCUAUUGUUAAUUCCCCAAAGGGAGUAGGGUAAUUUCUUGUCUAGUGUCUGAAUAUUUUCUAGCCAAGCUUUUGUUUGGAUGCUUAUGGGUCAUGGAGAUUUUUCUGCGAAACCCAUUUUAAGAUAUUUUGUUUAUUUUUAUUGGACUGAAUUUUCUGUCACUGUACGGAAUAUCUACGAUAACGGAACUUAAAAAAGGAAAGCAUUGUUUUGGCUCCCUGUCCUAGUUCACUUUCUGUAGCUGUGAUCAAGCACCAUGACCAAAGGCAACACUGGAAGGAAAGUGUUUAUUGGCUUACCUAUCCCUGUGUUAGCUCAGCACUGAGGGAAGUCAGGCCCUGGACUCAACCUGUAACAGAGACAGCAAACAGCACAGAGGAAGGCUGCUUCCUGGCUUGCUCCUCAUGGCUUGCUCAGCCUGCUUUCUUAUAUCACCUAGGACUACCUGCCCAAGGGUAGUACCACCCAUAAUAGACUGUGCCCUCUCACAUCAAUCACCAAUCAAGGAAAUGCCCCACAGACUUGCCUCCAGGUUAUCUCACAGAGGCAAUCCUUCCAUUAAGGUUCUCUCUCAAGGUGACUCUAUUUGUGGGUCUCGGGUUGACAAAAACAACUAACCAACACACUCGGGGUUUCAUGGCUUUGCGCUCCAUUGUUUGGGUGCUUGUAGCAAGGCAGAAUAUUAUACCAUG